CCAGCAACUUGGAGGAAUGUAUAGCAAUAGCUGAUUGCACCAACAAAUAGUUGAUGCAAUAUUGACUCUGUCAAAUAAAAUUCUAGGUAGAAUUAUGAUAAUGACAUUGUCUGCCUAUAUGUCUUGACCAAAUUACGUGCCAGCAGUCGCGGUAAUACGUAGAAGACUAGUGUUAUUCAUCUUUAAUAGGUUUAAAGGGUACCUAGACGGUAAAUCAAGCCUUCACAGGGACUAAUUUACUAGAGUUACUUACGAGGGGGUAUUAAAGUACUGCAGGUGUAGAGAUGAAAUUCUGUCAUACCUCUUUUCAAAAGAAAAAUUAUGGCACAGGUAUAGGUGAAAGCAUCCCCUUAUGUGAUAACUGACGUUGAAGGACGAAGGCUUUGUGUCGCGAACAGGAUUAGAUACCCCAGUAGUCAAAGCAGAAAAUGAUGAAUGUCAUAGAUUAGAUAAAUAGUUUAUUCUAUAAAUGAAAAUGUAAGCAUUCCACCUCAAGAGUAAUUUGGCAACAUUGGAACUGAAAUCAUUAGACCGUUUCUGAAACCAGUAGUGAAGUAUGUUGUUUAAUUUGAUGAUCCGCAAAAAACCUUACCACAAUUUGAAUAUUUAUAUCUAUUUUUUUUUUUCGUAAAAAAAUAAAAAGGUAAUAUAUUUACAAGCGUUGCACGGCUGUCUUCAGUUAAUGUCGCGAGACUUUGGUUAGUUCCAUUAAAUUAACGUAAACCCUUACUUUAUUUUUAUAUGAAGUAGUUCCCCGCUAUAUUGGAUAUGAUAACAGGGACUAAGACAAGUCAUCAUGG
rnacentral:rRNA from 1 species